rnacentral:tRNA from 1 species
UUAGUAGAAGCCAAAAAGAGGCUUUUCAUUGUUAAUGAAAUUAUUGGAUAACUACCCUACUAAG